GGGAGUGUUGUGUGUCUUCCUGUGUGUAGCAGAGCUAAGUUUAGCCCGUGUGAAUCUGUGUGUGUUCAUAUGACACCACCGUCACGCUGCACACCAGCUCGCAAUCCGAGAAGUCAGGAGCGGCCAUGGCUUUCGAGAUCAGAUGCAAAAUUUUACACAAAUUUACACAAAUGUUCCCGUGUCUGCUGUGUGAGCUCGGAGUGGACAAACAACGCAGGGUUACAAGCAGAGGUUCCUUGGAGUGAAACCUGCCAGGGACUUUAUUUAAGACGAAAUCUGGUGUUUGAGAUUUCUGGGUCAUGACACACACCGUGGCACUGAUCUCCUCACACACUUCCGCUACACACAUGCUGAAGCUGUUUGUUUCUAAACCUGGGCUGGAGUCGUGUUUCCCGGGGUCAUCAUCGCUUUGUCCACUAGAUGGAGACAAAGUCAAACAGACGCUUUGGUUAACUCUAUACAGAAUAUUUCACAUGAUUAAAACAUUCAGAUCUGUGUUUCAUUAAUAUCUCUCAUCCUCCCUGUGUCUAAUAAACACUCUAUUACACAUUA